AGCAAGGUUAACCGAAUAGGGGAGCCGGAGGGAAACCGAGUCUUAACCGGGCGUUAAGUUGCAGGGUAUAGACCCGAAACCCGGUGAUCUAGCCAUGGGCAGGUUGAAGGUUGGGUAACACUAACUGGAGGACCGAACCGACUAAUGUUGAAAAAUUAGCGGAUGACCUGUGGCUGGGGGUGAAAGGCCAAUCAAACCGGGAGAUAGCUGGUUCUCCCCGAAAGCUAUUUAGGUAGCGCCUCGUGAAUUCAUCUCCGGGGGUAGAGCACUGUUUCGGCUAGGGGGCCAUCCCGGCUUACCAACCCGAUGCAAACUGCGAAUACCGGAGAAUGUUAUCACGGGAGACACACGGCGGGUGCUAACGUCCGUCGUGAAGAGGGAAACAACCCAGACCGCCAGCUAAGGUCCCAAAGUCAUGGUUAAGUGGGAAACGAUGUGGGAAGGCCCAGACAGCCAGGAUGUUGGCUUAGAAGCAGCCAUCAUUUAAAGAAAGCGUAAUAGCUCACUGGUCGAGUCGGCCUGCGCGGAAGAUGUAACGGGGCUAAACCAUGCACCGAAGCUGCGGCAGCGACACUGUGUGUUGUUGGGUAGGGGAGCGUUCUGUAAGCCUGUGAAGGUGUGUCGUGAGGC
rnacentral:rRNA from 1 species